rnacentral:rRNA from 1 species
UACGUAGGGGGCAAGCGUUAUCCGGAAUUACUGGGUGUAAAGGGAGCGUAGACGGUAAUGUAAGUCUGGAGUGAAAGGCGGGGGCCCAACCCCCGGACUGCUCUGGAAACUAUGUUACUAGAGUGCAGGAGAGGUAAGCGGAAUUCCUAGUGUAGCGGUGAAAUGCGUAGAUAUAUGGAAGAACACCAGUGGCGAAAGCGGCUCUCUGGUCUGUAACUGACGCUGAGGUUCGAAAGCGUGGGUAGCAAACAGG